GUGUAUUCUGCAGGAGACGUUAAUCCCCUCUCCCCGGAGCUGGGACAGCCUGACUUUCCAUUCUCACACAGUAAUUAGAUACCAGCUGUAGGAAAACCAAGACCACUGAGGCCAAAGUCUAGCCCGAGGAGAAGACAUCCUGGUGGAGACUUUGGGGGGAGUCCAGCCCCCGAAGGCCCAGCUGUACCUCCUGCCUCCAACCCCACAAUCAGGCCGUCGCUGAUAUGAGCUGAAUCCAACUUCCUGCCACCCAGAAGCCACUUCCUGCCAAACUUGAGCUGAUACCAGAAGAACUUGUUUUCUGUGCACAGAGCAGUCCUUGGUGGGGCAGCCACCCGCCCCGGGUCUACAGAGGACAGAGCCUGGAAUCAAACCCAGGCUGCUCUGAAGCGGGAGUUCACUUCGAUGACACUGCAUUUCUCACACCACCAGCAGGCAUUUAAAUCACCUGCGAAUGAAUGAGUAAACGAACGCAACCAGGAUCUCAGGACCCCAGUCCAACGCUCCCUGCGCUAAUCCUCCUUCAUUUCAUGGCAGUGUGGACACGAGCCAAGCUCUGGCUGCCUUGGAUGGUGGCAGGGCCGCCCGAAGCCGGCUGUCAGGAGCUCGUCUGGCCACGGCCGCCAGCAGGGGAGACCAGCUGGCGGUGCAGGGUCUGUGGGCUCAGGCCUGGAAUCUGAGCCGUCCUGAGAGGCCCAGCUUCUCUCCAGGCCCCCACAAACUGGCCUUUGUUCCCCAGGCCGGCCGAGACCCAGCAGCUUGGGCCUUCCCUCUGCCCGCGGCGCCCGCGCUGAGCCGGCCGGGUAAAUGGGCCAGCCUCCCCUCUGUCCAUGCCCAGGACGUUGCUUCAGGACUAAAUGGAGAUGUAAUUUUCUAUACAAAUCCAUGACAAUUUAGAUGGAGUGAUUGUAAUUGGCUUUUCAAUGGGGGUUUUGUCCGGCGCUGGUGGCUAGAACUGGGUGGCCUGUUUAAGGCAGGCUCCAUUUAAAUGACAAUAAAGCAAUAAUAUUGAGGA